AUUGAACGCUGGCGGCAUGCUUAAUACAUGCAAGUCGAACGGUCACAGGCCUUCGUGUGCUGUCGAGUGUUGACCGGGGGAGUAAUGCAUCGAAACGUACCACCAGCCUGUGGGUCACGCAUCAAAAGCUGUGCUCAUACCGAAUGCCAUCUGAUGUAGAAAGCGGCGUACCGCACAGCAAUAAUUCGCCUCUCGUCUUUGGUAUGGCCGAUGUCGGAUUAGCUAGUUGGUGGGGUAAAGGCCUACCAAGGCGACGCUCCGUAGCUGGUCUGAGAGGACGACCAGCCACACUGGGACUGAGACACGGCCCAGACUCCUACGGGAGGCAGCAGUGGGGAAUUUUGGACAAUGGGCGCAAGCCUGAUCCAGCAAUGCCGCGUGCGGGAAGAAGGCCUUCGGGUUGUAAACCGCUUUUGGCAGGAACGAAACGGUGUCCGCUAAUACCGGGCGCUAAUGACGGUACCUGCAGAAUAAGCACCGGCUAACUACGUG
rnacentral:rRNA from 1 species